AAGACUAUAUUAUCAGGGAUCAUUUCUACAAUUUAUUACUAGAGAAGUUUCUUUCAACAUGUGGAGCACCACCCAGU
ensembl:snoRNA U3 Small nucleolar RNA U3